rnacentral:rRNA from 1 species
GAGUUUGAUCGUGGCUCAGGAUGAACGCUGGCGGCGUGCCUAAUACAUGCAAGUCGAGCGGAAACACUUCGGGUGUCGAGCGGCGGACGGCUGAGUAACACGUAGGAACGUACCCCAAACUGAGGGAUAAGCAUCGGAAACGGCGUCUAAUACCGCAUGUGCUCUAAGGAGUAAAGCUUCGGCGGUUUGGGAACGGCCUGCGCAUGAUUAGCUUGUUGGUGAGGUAAUGGCUCACCAAGGCUUCGAUCAUUAGCUGGUCUGAGAGGAUGACCAGCCAGACUGGGACUGAGAACGGCCCAGACUCCUACGGGAGGCAGCAGUAGGGAAUUUUCCACAAUGGGCGAAAGCCUGAUGGAGCAACGCCGCGUGCAGGAUGGAUGCCUUCGGGUUGUAAACUGCUUUUAUAUGUGAAGAUUUUGACGGUAACAUAUGAAUAAGGAUCGGCUAACUCCGUGCCAGCCGCCGCAGUAAG